rnacentral:rRNA from 1 species
GACAGAGGUGCCAAGCGUUAGGCGGAAUCACUGGGCUUAAAGGGCGCGUAGGCGGGUGCUCAAGUCCGGGGUGAAAUCCUCCAGCUCAACUGGAGAACUGCCUCGGAUACUGGGUGCCUCGAGUGUGGUAGGGGUGUGCGGAACUAUCGGUGGAGCGGUGAAAUGCGUUGAUAUCGAUAGGAACUCCGGUGGCGAAGGCGGCACACUGGACCACAACUGACGCUGAGGCGCGAAAGCCAGGGGAGCAAACGGG